CACGUAGUUAGCCGGGGCUUCUUAGUCAGGUACCGUCAUUUUCUUCCCUGCUAAUAGAAGUUUACAUACCGAAAUACUUCUUCCUUCACGCGGCGUCGCUGCAUCAGGGUUCCCCCCAUUGUGCAAUAUUCCCCACUGCUGCCUCCCGUAGGAGUUUGGGCCGUGUCUCAGUCCCAAUGUGGCCGUUCACCCUCUCAGGUCGGCUACUGAUCGUUGCCUUGGUGAGCCCUUACCUCACCAACUAGCUAAUCAGACGCGGGUCCAUCUCAUACCACCAGAGUUUUUCACACUGUACCAUGCAGUACUGUGCGCUUAUGCGGUAUUAGCAGCCAUUUCUAACUGUUAUCCCCCUGUAUGAGGCAGGUUACCCACGCGUUACUCACCCGUCCGCCACUCAGUCAUAAAAAUCUUCCUACCGUAGUAUUCUGUCUCUUAUGCUUCGUUCGACUUGCAUGUGUUAAGCACGCGCCAGCGUUCAUCCUGAGCCAGGACUCAAACU
rnacentral:rRNA from 1 species